CUCUCAUGUGACCUAAUCCUUCAC
rnacentral:siRNA from 1 species